rnacentral:rRNA from 1 species
CCUCACGCUAUCAGAUGAGCCUAGGUCGGAUUAGCUAGUUGGUGGGGUAAAGGCCUACCAAGGCGACGAUCCGUAACUGGUCUGAGAGGAUGAUCAGUCACACUGGAACUGAGACACGGUCCAGACUCCUACGGGAGGCAGCAGUGGGGAAUAUUGGACAAUGGGCGAAAGCCUGAUCCAGCCAUGCCGCGUGUGUGAAGAAGGUCUUCGGAUUGUAAAGCACUUUAAGUUGGGAGGAAGGGCAGUAAGUUAAUACCUUGCUGUUUUGACGUUACCAACAGAAUAAGCACCGGCUAACUUCGUGCCAGCAGCCGCGGUAAUACGAAGGGUGCAAGCGUUAAUCGGAAUUACUGGGCGUAAAGCGCGCGUAGGUGGUUCAGCAAGUUGGAUGUGAAAUCCCCGGGCUCAACCUGGGAACUGCAUCCAAAACUACUGAGCUAGAGUACGGUAGAGGGUGGUGGAAUUUCCUGUGUAGCGGUG